AUUAUUCCGGUGACGGGGCAUAGUAAUCAAGGUAGCAAGUUAAUCAGAGAGGAGAGGUCGUGGCUGAGAGCCCUCCAAAUUUGUCUUGAUGAAUGAACACCUUUGAGGAUCUWCUCUGAACAUGUAUAUAAGUAGGAGAUGACGUAUGCAGGCGUUAACUGUUGAAAAGUGGAAGUCGUAAUUUAGGCUUCAAUUAGGGUGGCACCACGGGUAUAUAACUCUCGUCCCUGAU
rnacentral:ncRNA from 1 species